GGCACUUUCCAACGGUGUUGCGUCCUUCGCCUGCUAUUGUUUUCUUUUUCUUUUCAUUUUCAGUAUAUUUUCCAAGUUUUUUUUAUUUAUAUUGAAUUUUUAUUUCGUGUAUGUGGAAGAUAAAUGACAAGAAUGUUAUUGGUUGGUUCGGAUUUAAGCCUUCUUUCUUUGGCGUAGUGUGAGUUGGAGCAGCCGUCGGCAAAUGUGAAAAACCCCUUUUUUGCAUAGACCAUGUAAAACAACAAAGCCAUGCUCUUAUGGUAUUGACAGCAGACUGCUGCGUUUAUGAAAAUUGCAAGCAUAAUGUUGAAAGAAAGAGGCUGCAAUGUGACCCUUCUCCUGACACAGAAGCUACUGUGUAAGUGAAUUAAUAUUGAGUUGUUAAAUGACUCAUAGCAAUCCAAAAUCGAUAACAGGAUUCCCAUACAGGGAACUCAAGUACCAAUGCCGAUGUAAAAUUAUGAGAAAAAUGUAUAGCAUUUGCUUUUAUUUUCACAUUUCAGUGGUAUUAGAGAAAGCUAGAAGUAGAAGAAAAACCUAAUUAAUCAUUCUUCUGUAUUAGUCUGAUUUGCCAGAUUUUCCUGAGCCAAUAGCUAGAAACAACAUCGAACCUCUCAACUAAUGUUUUCGUUCUUUAUUUCCCUUACGCCUGAUCCUUUUGAUCUCUGCCUUCUUUCCUCCUUGUGUCAAAAUCCCUAGAAACCAUCGUCCUUCCUGCACGCAACACAUUCAAAUUUGGAAUUCCCGCAGCUAACAUAUCCGAUGCCUGGUGAUAUUUAGUCUUGGUCUUCAGAUUAUUAUAUUUCACUAAAAAAAAUGGCAGCUACGUCACUUGCCCUUAAACAUCUGAACACAGGACGGCGGGGUUGGUUUUCCCAAGGCUUGCUUUCGGUAUUCCGUGUUCUUCGUGAUGUUGUUUCUCAUCAAAUUGCAUACAUAUGUGCCUUCUCUCUCCUUUUAUUUUUAAUAUUAGCCUUAGCCAUUAAGAUAUGAAUGUAAUUUUAUGGCUGACAGUUUUGAAGGGAUAGCGAAGAGAGGUAUCUUAUGUUUCUUUUUCAUUCCGAAGUGCUUUGGAAAUAGAGAACAUACACCAACCUA